GGCACGGCCCAAAAGGAGCAGCCUCCGAAACCCACCCCGCUCUAUCCACCAGCCUCCGCCUCGCCGCCGCCGCCGUUGCCGCCAGUGCCGCUCCCGGCGGGCCGCCGCCAGCAGUCAUGCUCCCCCUCGCCCGCGCGCUCCGCAGCCUCGGCCCGGCGGCGGCCGCGCGCGAGGUUCCCCUCCUCGCGUGGCUCUCUUCCGCGAGGUCGGCCGCCUCCUCCUCUUCCGUCCCGCCGGAGUACGAGAUGCCGUCGGUGACGUGGGGCGUGAUCCAGGGGCGCAAGGAGCGCCUCGUCUCCCGCGUGCUGGCGCUCGACUUCCUCCGCUCCGCGGGCGUUUCCGACCCCGCCGGCGAGCUCGAGGCCGUCGAGCUCCCCUCCUCCCUCGAGGUGCUCCAGGAGCGCCUCGACUUCCUCCUCCGCCUCGGCCUCUCCACCGACGACCUCUCCAAUUACCCGCUCCUCCUCGCCUGCUCCCUUCGGAAGAACGUCAUCCCCGUGCUCUCCUACCUCGAGAAGCUCGGCGUCACGCGCGCCCGCCUCGCCGCCUUCGUCCGCGCCUACCCCGCUUGCCUCCACGCCUCCGUCGCCGUCGACCUCUCCCCCGUCGUCAAGGCCCUUCGCGGCCUCGACGUCGACCGCCAGGACAUUCCACGAGUCCUCGAGCGGUAUCCCGACGUCCUGGGCCUCAAGCCGGACGGCACAAUCAGCACCUCCGUCGCCUACCUCGUCGGCAUCGUCGGCGUUGCGCCACGAGACAUCGGUCCCAUGGUAACGCACUACCCUUUCUUCCUCGGCAUGAGAGUUGGCACUACCAUCAAGCCGUUCUGCGAUUACAUCACUUCUCUCGGGCUGCCCAUGCGGAUCCUGGCGAGGAUCCUCGAGAAACGGCCGUACAUUCUGGGCUAUGAUCUUGAGGAGACGGUCAAACCAAACGUGGAUGCAUUGCUCAGCUUCGGCAUUCAGAAGGAGGCACUGCCGUUGGUGAUCGCACAGUACCCAUCUGUACUUGGGCUGCCGCUGAAAGCGAAGCUAGCAGCGCAACAGUAUUUCUUCAACUUGAAGCUCCAAAUUGACCCAGAUGGAUUUGCCCGUGCAGUUGAGAAGUUGCCACAGCUUGUAAGCUUGAAUCAGAAUGUGAUCUUGAAGCCUGUAGAGUUCCUCCGUGGACGAGGGAUCUCCAAUGAGGAUGUUGCACGUAUGGUGGUACGGUGCCCACAGAUUCUAUUGCUUCGGAUUGAGCUCAUGAAGAACAGCUUAUACUUCUUCAAGAGUGAGAUGAAGAGACCAAUGAGUGAAUUGUUGGAGUACCCGGAGUAUUUUACUUAUAGCUUGGAGUCAAGGAUCAAGCCUAGGUACAUGAGAGUUACAAGUAAAGGGAUUAGGUGUAGCUUGGAUUGGUUCCUGAACUGCAGUGAUCUGAGGUUUGAGGAAAGGAUGCGAGGAGAUUUUAUUGAAGGGGAUGCACCAGGACCUUCAUUUACAAUGGGUGGGAAGCUUCAGAUGCCAGGCAGCCAGUUAGUGUCGGAUGAUGAUGAGGAUACCGAUGAUGAGGUGCUAUAUAGGCGGACAGUCAUGCUCUAAUAUGGUGCAGUUUAAUUCCGAAGGUCUUCCAUGACAUGUUUGCAGCAGUAUCAUAUUAGCAAGUAUCCUCACUUGCUAGGUGAGAAGGCAGCAGAACAUGAAUGAUGAGCGUUCGCUUGGAACCAGCCAAAGUAGUUUGAGUGCCCAACCAACAACUCGAACGGAUCGAUAACGACACUGAUGGUACUUGGGGGGGGGGGGGGGGGGCACAGCCUUUGACCAUAUGUCCCAGCGAUGGAAAUGGGAGAUCCAUUGAUAAUUUAAGCAGGAGAUUGAAGAGUUCUGAAGUAGAACGGAUAUGAUGUGCUGGUGGUGGAAAUCUCCCACCAGCUCAACAGUUGAAUGUUGCACUGGUUGAUCCUCUUCUCUAAGAGAGGCCAGGGGUUGAUCGUGCCAUCCGAUGCAGGUUUUUGUAAAUGUGCACUAUUUACUGUGUGUAACUCAGAUGCUCCACACAGACGGCACAGUGGUUUGAUCGUCGCUCCCAACUGAGCUUCUGACUAUUCAAACCAUCGUGUGGCACCUUUGAUUUGAAUUCGGUACUGCACUCGAGUUCGUCCAAUCUUAAUUUCAAGUCAGAAGAAAAGUUAUAUUGCA